rnacentral:rRNA from 1 species
CCUACGGGAGGCAGCAGUGAGGAAUAUUGGUCAAUGGACGAGAGUCUGAACCAGCCAAGUAGCGUGAAGGAUGACUGCCCUAUGGGUUGUAAACUUCUUUUAUAUGGGAAUAAAACGUUCCACGUGUGGGAUUUUGUAUGUACCAUAUGAAUAAGGAUCGGCUAACUCCGUGCCAGCAGCCGCGGUAAUACGGAGGAUCCGAGCGUUAUCCGGAUUUAUUGGGUUUAAAGGGAGCGUAGGUGGAUUGUUAAGUCAGUUGUGAAAGUUUGCGGCUCAACCGUAAAAUUGCAGUUGAAACUGGCAGUCUUGAGUACAGUAGAGGUGGGCGGAAUUAGUGGUGUAGCGGUGAAAUGCUUAGAUAUCACGAAGAACUCCGAUUGCGAAGGCAGUUCACUGGACUGCAACUGACACUGAGGCUCGAAAGUGUGGGUAUCAAACAGGAUUAGAUACCCUAGUAGUC